rnacentral:rRNA from 1 species
UACGGAGGGUGCAAGCGUUAUCCGGAUUUACUGGGUUUAAAGGGUGCGCAGGCGGAUAUGUAAGUCAGUGGUGAAAUCUCCAGGCUUAACCUGGAAAUUGCCGUUGAUACUAUAUAUCUUGAAUGUUGUGGAGGUAAGCAGAAUAUGUCAUGUAGCGGUGAAAUGCUUAGAUAUGACAUAGAACACCUAUUGCGAAGGCAGCUUACUACGCAGAUAUUGACGCUCAUGCACGAAAGCGUGGGGAUCAAACAGG